UUAGUUAAAAUAGGAUUUUAGGAUAGUUUAGGAUUCGUGUAGAAAGUUAUUAUUUAAGAUUAGCAAGACGUGAGAUCUUCUAAGCGAGGGAGCGCACGGGAUAGCUAAACUGCUGUGAUAGAUAAAAGAUAACGCAUGGUACAGACACGUCCAGCUACACCACACAGCAGAACGCUUUGUUGACAUAAAGCUCGUUAAAAUACAAUCAAGUAGCAAGUAGCAUAGGCUACAAUACUUUACACUAUUGUGUAUACUCGAUUACCUGAGUUAAUAGGGAGAGGGGGGAAUGAAAAAUAGGUUAAUCCAAUAUAGUAUAAAAACAGAUGACAAACUCAUUAAAACGCUGUAAACAGCCAUUAAGUCACGAUUUACAUUUUUAUAAACAAAAUUCAAUAUUGCACAAUCAUUAUUAUUGUAAAUUUCAAAUCAUUUAUCUUGGUUCAGUUGUACAAACGGCAACGUUUAAAAUUGUAGCUAACUCAAACUCAACUAAUCACUAGCCAAACAUUACAUUGCUAUAAAUAACGUAAAUAUUAAAGGAACCUUUAGAAAGUGUGUUAUAAGGUACUGCUCAUGAUAGACAGAUAGGCUACCGAUGCUGUAUCACAGCAUAGGAAUUGAUAGAUAAGUAAUAAAAAAGUGUAAAAUUAUAUUUAGAGAUAAUUAAAACACUCUUAAAAAAAGAAUGUAACGAGAACAAUCUUGUUAUUCUCUUUCUUUGUUCUUCUGUUCAUUAAUAGGUUUCUCUUCAAUACAUACACAAAUUCAACAAGUCGCCAUAUUUAGACCUACUCAUUGGCCAAUCACAGCCUUCCCAGACAGCACGUGAGCUUGGACCAAACUUGGUUUUUACAUAUUUCUGAAUUGGUAUGACAAACUUGGAGUUUGGAACCCACAACAAAUUUAAAACAGCUUUGGUUAAGUGAACUUGUGUGAAUGCACCAAAACUAAACUUGUUUUAUUUACAUAUAUAACCUGGUUGGCCAAGUCCACAAUUUAAACACCUAACCAGACCCACGACAAGCUUGUUCAUGUGAGUCUAAAGUGAGCAGUGCCAUAUGACAAAAGAAUUUUCCCUCCACCCCUACCCAGAACGCUCCUAAAACCUGUUUCUUUGUGCUGAACCACCAUUUUUGUUGGAUUUAGACUUCCUCACUCUCAGUUGUCAGUUCUCACUUAUCUAGUUCUGGUGUUGUGAGUUACUCGUUUCGUUACUAGUUGUGAGUUUUGUUUAUGGUUUUGAUACCAAGACGAAGCAAAGAAGAAUUAAGGGAUUCCUGUAAAGAUCUUCUGAAGCAGGCGGUGGAGUUGAUGGGUUCAGAAAAGAAGUUGAAGGUGAAGUGGAAGAUAGUGGGCAUUGUAUUUAUUAUAUUAAUAAAUUGUCUUGAAAUGUGAA